UUUCAAUCUGACGACGCCGUUUGCUGUGCCCUAAUUGUUGCCCCAAAUCGUAAUUCGUAAGCCCUAAUUGUCAUCCGCAAUUCCCAAACUGGGCUUAAUUGUGCGGUUCUUGUACCAGACGACGACAUAUAAUGAUGUGGGUUCAUGGCAUCUUUGUAGUGGUGCUUUGUGUGCAACGAACUACAAGGGUGGAUGGUGAUGAAGCUUGAAGAGAUAUAAAAGGAAAUGCAGUCUUUAACCUAGAAAAGAUUUAUUGAAAUAUAAUGUAGAGGAACAUUAAAUAAAAUAAAGAAAGCUUUGAUGGUCUAACAAAUAGUACAACAAACAUCUUUGAGAUUUCUUAUACAAAAUCUUGAACUUUCUUCUUGGCUGUUUGAUACCUGAAGUGCAAAAUGUUGGUGGGGGGCUUGUUUAUCUUUUCUGGAAGUUGACUGUCUUGAUGGAAAGUGCAAAUACUAAAGUGAAAGAAACGAUGAAGAGGAGAAGCAUGGACGCCACAAAUCCCAGCAUACUGUGUUUGUAACCAAAGUAGUUCCUCAAGAAUUCUUCAACUGUUUCCCCAGAGCCCAGCACAGUUUGAGAUUUCCCAAAUUGUGUGACGAUGAUACCGUACAAGCUAUAAGCCGUGGGGCUUAGCCAGUAGUACCAUCUCAUAUAUACAGGUCGUGGGAUGAUGAAUCCUGAGAAGAGAUUCCACAGUCCAUAAAAGAAAGAAGAGAUAAUGCUGGCUACAGAUAGAUUAGGAGUGACUGCCACGGUCAUCAUGCCGAAUAGGACAAAGAACAUCAAUGUGAUGAAGAGGAAAUACAAGAACCAGAAGAGAUUUUCAGCAGUCCACCCGAAAUUCAUCAUUGAGAAGAUAAUGAGGCCAUAGACAACGGAUUGAACAAAGAUAUAUGGAAUCUCUAUGAGGAGCUGCAAGAGAAAAAGGUGUUAGUUGUAACUUCAAACUUCAGAGGUAACUAAACUCAUAUAUAAAGAUAAAAAUCUAUACUUGUGAGAGUGCAUAUGGUAGAGGUGAAUACAUUCCAGCUGCUCUUUCUCUGUAAAAGACUGUUCGUUCAACGGACACUACAGGCUGGACUGUCGAGCUGUACUGGAAACCCAAGAAGGUCAUGGAAGAGAACAUAGCACCCAUGGCGUUGAAGAGAUCUUGUUGAUCAUCCCUGCAAAUCAUAGUAUAAUAUGAGCAUAGAAUUAGUGAAAAGUAUUUUGACAUAUGAGGUGAUUUACGUUUUUGAGCCGAGAUCCCAGAAAAUCGACCCAAAUGUGAGGGCUAUGAAGGUUGUGAAAGCAAAUCUGACUGCUGUAUAUGGAGUAUUUCUCCAGUAAGACCAGUGUUGUUUCCACAAGCAUGCUUUGCAUUGAGUGAGGAAGGGUUGGGAGUAUUGCGAGGGGAAAUAUAGAUCCUUUGUGCCAGGGCGAGGGACGCUUAAUUCCUUGAUCAGGGCUUUGUUCCUCGUGUAUAGUUCUGAAUUUUUGUAAAGAUCAGCAAAGUCAGCUCCCAAAUGAAGCUCUUGUGCUGAAGAAGUGACUUCCAGCAUCCAGAUAUGGUGCACCUCACCUCAUCAAAUGCUUCAAAUAUGUCGAUGCUUGGCUGAUGGAUAGUGCACACGACGGUUCUUCCUGUGUUGACCGUGUUCCUGACAGUUCUCAUCACAAUUGCAGCAGCUCUUGCAUCAAGCCCUGAUGUUGGCUCAUCCAUAAAUAUGAUGGAAGGAUUAGCUACAAGUUCAACUGCGAUUGUCAGCCGUUUUCUCUGCUCGGUUGAGAGACCACUAACCCCUGGCAACCCAACUAGUGCUCCUCUCAGAGGGGUAAGUUCUAUAAGUUCCAUCACCUCCUCAACGAACAUCUAUUAGUAGCACAAGCAAGCGCAACCAAGCUGAGUAAGUGAGCGACUCAUGGACAGUAACAUUUGGAGAAUGGAUGUCGUUCUGUUCACAAUAUCCAGAAAUCCGGGCAAACGUUUCCUGAUUCUUUGGAUAACCAGAGAUUGUGAUAUUUCCUUCAAUGUAUCCUCCUGUUUUCCUUCCAGCUAAUACAUCCAUCAAAGUUGUUUUACCAGCUCCGCUCACACCCAUCAAAGCUGAUCAUUCCCCUAGUCUCGUUCUCGUUGGCUUCUGAGGUUCCAGAGGAGAUGCUUCCCCUUCUACUUCCACCAGCCUCACCCAUAAUAGCAGCAUCUUCAUCUUCUUCUGGUAAUACAGCUUGUUUCUUGUCAUAUGCUGCACCCAUUUUUAAUUGCUGAGUGUAAAAUUAGGAAAAUACCGAAAUCCCUCGGACUAGAAAAAAACUUACAAUUGAGGUAUGUAAGACAGAUCAAGAAGCUGAAGUUGAACAGAAACAUGAAACCAAUAGAAGCCCCCACUCCUAUCCAAUACCAGUAAGAUUCUGGGAAGAAACCUCUCGACUCCAUCACAAGGACACCCAAUUUGGUUCCAUUAAUAUCCUGCAAAAUCAUCGAAUCAUGAUUUGUCACUCUUAUAGCAAAAUGCUAGUAAUCUAAGAACCAACAGUUGGUGUGUUGACUUACUUUACUCCAACUGUGUCCUGUGAAUUCGUUAACAAGAAUUGCAUUCUGAGCAUACAUCAAUGGUGAUGACCAGUAGCCCCAUUUCCACCAUUUCUUCACACUGUCUGCGUUUUCACAACCAAAUAAACGUGAUGAGACAAUGGCACCACUAUUUUAAGUAUGAGCACUUGAUCUAUAUUUCAUACUCCGUGACAGGAUAAAUCCGCCCAUUGCAAAAAGCAUGAUCAGUGUGAACAAGCCAAAUGUGUUUGCUAUAAUCAUGUUUCUGCCUGCUGAUCCGAUGAAUCUGAACAAUCCUGAUGCUGACUGGUUUACGAGUACAAGCAAGAGGAGCUGCUUUGCGAAUCUGUGGUUAAAGAUUCUUGAUCAUUAAUCUUAGUUGAAAGAGAUGACAAAGUAAUAUACACAUAUAUUUGUGUAUGGUUGGUUACCUUCCUGCAUUUGGAUCUUGUCCAACAACAUAGUAAGUGAGACCUGUCCAUAAACCGACUUCCAUGAAGGUGAACGGUAUGUUGAGUAACCAUGGGGGAAGACCAUAUACCCAUGGGGGGUAAAAGAACAUAUCCCUUUGUUUGUAGAAGACUGGAAGCUUUUUAAUGGUCAUCGCAAUCUCAGACAUUCCAUUGAACAUGAUUAUAGUCACUGUGAAAAACAGAACCCCAGUGUAUACACCUCCAUCAGCAAUAUCAUCUUUAGCCAUUCUAGUUCGGAAGAACAUGGCCAUGGCAAUAGCUGCCAGGAAAGUGAGCUGAAAAUAAUUAUCAGGAAGAAGACGAUGUCAGUCAGUGACGUAUAUAAUCCCAUGGGAAAUACUAAGAUUCUAGCUUGCCUGGAAGAGUUUGAAGAAAUAGAAAAAUGAGUUUCUCUUCAUCGACAAGAAUUCUCUUUCAGCACAGGCUUUCAGGAGUUCUUUUCUCCCAAGACCGUACUUUUUUGUUGUCAAUGCCGCUGGAUGGUUUUUGCUCUUAUCAUAUGGAGCUGCAAGCUCUUCCCCGAGCCUUCUACCAACAACAGUUGAUUGAAAUGCCUCUGCGAAUUCUCUACCCGAAACGAACCGCCACUCCUUUUCUCUCCGGGCAUUUGAACCCCAUGGAUUCAAAGAAUUCAACCACAUAUUCUCGAGGACCAUGAUAAACAACAUUCCCCUCAGACAAAAGCACAAUGUCAUCGAAGAGGUCAUAUGUCUCGGGUGCUGGCUGCAGGAGUGAGAUAAAACAAGUCCCCUUCAUGAUGUGGACAUACUGUCGAAGCAUAUUGAUGAUUUGAUAUGUUGUAGAACUGUCCAGUCCAGUUGAAAUCUCAUCCAUGAAAAGCGCGUUAGAUGGUCCAACAAGCAUUUCUCCUGCAACCAGGUCAACUUCAGUUUCUGUAUUACUCUUUGUGUUACUACUGCAUCAUAGUUUACCUGUUGUGACUCGUUUUCUCUGCCCUCCGGAAAUUCCCCUUAACAUCUCAUUUCCUACUAAAGUAUCAGCACAGACAUCAAGCCCCAAGAUCUUAAGAACGUAUUCUGUAACAACAUUUACUUCAUCUCCUUCCGUGGCAGCUGCCUACAUUAUCACAAAUCAGACUGUUCUGCCAGCAUAUCUGUCCGAGCCAUACGUGACCACAAAAACAGUAUAAAUUCGUCCAAUCCGUGUCCAUUGUACGUCACUCUUCCUGAAACCUGCUCAAGCAUGUCAAUUAGAAUCAUGUUGAUCUUGAACAAGUGAGGUAGAGAAACUGGAAUUCAUAAUGCAAUUGAUGCUACUUUUAGAUCAGAGUCGAGCCUUCCAGCCAAAGCCUGCAAGAACGUGGUCUUUCCAGAAUUCGGAGGGCCUAAAAGCAAGGUCAAUCUGCCGGGCUUGAUGAUCCCAUUAACAUCAUUGAGGAUGGUGAAUGGCUUCUUUCUGCUCCGAGUUAUACGCAGAAGGUUCAGAAUCCCCUAAUAAGGAACACAAGCUGCAAGAUUCAGAGAGAAGAUCAAUCCCGACUCUGUAGAAUGAAAUCAACAUCAAGAUAAUUUGACAAAGGCAGCAGCAGCAAAAGUGAUGCAACCAAAUGAUCUCUUACCUCUCAAUUCUGCUCCUGAGCUUUUUGAGGAACUUGUCAUUAUCGAUCUCCACGUCCCUAACCAGCCUCUCCACCAGUUUCUUCUUGUCCUCGUCUUGGAGAUCGUGAACAUCAACGUCGUGUGGACCCUUUGAUCCGAGGAGGAUCCCUCUCCUGAGACGAUCAACCGUUGGCAACUUCUCCAAGACAGCCCAUUUCAAGGACUCCUCAUCAUCUUCAUCGCGUGUUGAGCGCCUGAAUACUUCGUCGUCUGUGGCCCUCCACAUCCGCAUGCUGUUCGCCCUCAAGCUCGAGCUCAGCCGGCUCAUGCUUCCGCUCUCCAUUAGACUCGAAGCUGUGUUUCUACGUGCUUUGUUUCAUCAACAUGAACAUCACUGCAUGGUGGAAAAUUGUGGCUGCUUUUGAGUUAUGCUCAUUGUAACUUCUCAAAUUUUCAUAUGGGAUCACUUAUAAUAAUUUGAAGAUGCCAACUUUAUCUCAAGUUGUAAUUUAAUUCCUUCUAGAUUUUAUUUUUUUUAGAAAACGAUUCAUCAAGUUAGUAUUCAAUGCCUAUUCAGUAGAUUAUCUGA